AGACAAAAAACAUGGUGUUAUCAAUCAUGUAAUAGUUAGGAUAAUCAAUACAAGAAACUUUGUACAAUAAUAACAAGAUCAACUAACAAGAAAUGUUCAUAUUAUUAACAUCUUUGUACAUGCCUUUAUUUACAAAAUGAAAUCCUGUAAGGGGAAGAAUCGCUGACUUGAUAGACCAGCCAGGUUCUCCUACACUGGCCAGGUUCUCCUACACUGGCCAGGUUCUCCUACACUGGCUAGGUUCUCCUACACUGGCCAGGUUCUCCUACACUGGCCAGGUUCUCCUACACCAUCUAGGUUCUCCUACACCAUCUAGGUUCUCCUACACCAGCUAGGUUCUCCUACAUCAGCUAGGUUCUCCUACAUCAGCUAGGUUCUCCUACAUCAGCUAGGUUCUCCUACACCAGCUAGGUUCUCCUACAUCAGCUAGGUUCUCCUACACCGGCUAGGUUCUCCUACACAGGCUAGGUUCUCCUACACCAGCUAGGUCCUCCUACACUGGCUAGGUCCUCCUACACCGGCUAGGUUCUCCUACAUCAGCUAGGUUCUCCUACACCGGCUAGGUCCUCCUACACCGGCUAGGUCCUCCUACACCGGCUAGGUUCUCCUACACCGGCUAGGCCCUCCUACACCGGCUAGGUCCUCCUACACCGGCUAGGUUCUCCUACACCGGCUAGGUUCUCCUACACCGGCUAGGUUCUCCUACACCGGCUAGGUUCUCCUACACUGGCUAGGUCCUCCUACACCAGCUAGGUACUCCUACACCAGCUAGGUCCUCCUACACCGGCUAGGUCCUACUACACCAGCUAGGUCCUCCUACACCAGCUAGGUUCUCCUACACUGGCUAGGUUCUCCUACACCGGUUAGGAUAUCAUAUUUUGAAUACAACAUCAAAAGACAGAAAACAACAUUGUCUAUUUCAUACUCAUGCUUAAUAUUAAAUCCAUGAACUGAAGUGAGUAUUUUCUUAAGGAAUUCAGAAUGAAAUCCCAUAUUAACACGUCAUUUAUAAUAUACACAUAUAUUUAGUGAGGUAUUUGUAGUGACACAGAAGUUUGUAUAUUGAGUGGUAAGUGCAGUGGAACUGUUGCCGCGAACACCUGAUAGACAAAGGUGGAGAUGGUAUGUUAGACUGAGACAGAAUACAUAUAGAAGAAACAAGCUGGUAGUUACU